rnacentral:rRNA from 1 species
GGCUCUUUGAUCAAUAUAUAUAAAGAGUCGGGCCUGCCCAGUGAUAUAUUUAACGGCCGCGGUACUCUGACCGUGCAAAGGUAGCAUAAUCAUUUGCCUUAUAAUUGAAGGCUAGUAUGAAUGGUUUGACAAAAACAAAGCUGUCUCUUUUUAAUUUUUUAGAACUUGAUUUUUAGGUGAAGAAGCCUAAAUAUAAUUGAAAGACAAGAAGACCCUAUCGAGCUUUAAAAAAUUUUGUUAAGAUAAAAUAGUUAUAAAAACUAAUUAUAACAAAAAAUUUUAGUUGGGGCGACUAAGGAACAAAAAAGCUUCCAAUCCUAUAUUUAUAACAUAUUGGUUUUGAUCCAAAACCUUUGAUUAAAAGAAUUAGUUACCGUAGGGAUAACAGCAUAAUCUUUUUUGAGAGCUCUUAUCGAAAAAAAGGUUUGUGACCUCGAUGUUGGACUAGAAUAUCCUAAAUGGCGCAGAAGUCUUUAAGGGUUGGUCUGUUCGACCACUAAUAUUCUACGUGAUCUGAGUUCAGACCGG